UCCGGAUUCUUUGUUUAUCCGCAGCAAUCUUCAAAUGCUGAUCCGCGAAGAAGAGAUUAAGAUGGGUUUCAAAUCAUUAGUAAAAGGUCUUAGAACCUUGGAAAAAACUCAUCAACUUCCCCAAAAAUCAGACUUAGAUGAGAACGAUAGAGUUGUGGUCGAUUACAUCUUUCGUAAGAUAAUCUAAGACGCCAGUGCUGACUUGUGUUGUGAUUGUCGUCAUUAUUUGUGAGACCACUUGUGCUGUGAUUGUCGUCAUUGUAGGCGAUACCGGCACCAUAACCUAAAGCACCGACGAAACAAUGGAAAGAUGGAUUGGAAAUCCUUACUAGAAGGUGUAAGGACCAUAGACGAGAUUAAACAUCUUAGUCAAAUCACGAGGAGCCAUUACACAACUUGAUCGAUCAUUCCAGGAGUCACCGGAAAACGCCGAAUUUUGCUCCCGCUGUUGUCGUCAUCACCGUAAGGGAGACCGCCACCACGAAAAGUCAUUAUCGUCCCCCAAAAAUAAUUGAACCCUACUUGGCAUGUUCGGCCGUCUGGCCGGGUCAAUCGGAUGGGCUUUGGCAGACUUUGUGCCUCAAAAUGAGCAUCUUUACCAUGGGCUUUUUGGGAAGCUGAACCAAGAAACAACGUAAGGAAGACCAUCGUCAGAUGAAUUUUUCUGGUAGCUUUUCAUUUUGCCAGACUUGUGUUGAGUUUUUUUUUUUCUUUUUUGAUGUUCUUUGUUGUUUGAGUUGUCGGAACUGUCUGACUUCUCUUCUUCUUUGUACUGUAAUCUUUCUUUCGGUCUUAAUAAAAUCUGUUCAUACA